rnacentral:rRNA from 1 species
GCGGCAUGCUUUACACAUGCAAGUCGGACGGCAGCACAGAGAAGCUUGCUUCUUGGGUGGCGAGUGGCGAACGGGUGAGUAAUAUAUUGGAACGUACCGAGUAAUGGGGGAUAACUUGCCGAAAGGUAAGCUAAUACCGCAUACGCUCUGAGGAGGAAAGCAGGGGACCUUCGGGCCUUGCGUUAUUCGAGCGGCCAAUAUCUGAUUAGCUAGUUGGUGGGGUAAAGGCCUACCAAGGCGACGAUCAGUAGCGGGUCUGAGAGGAUGAUCCGCCACACUGGGACUGAGACACGGCCCAGACUCCUACGGGAGGCAGCAGUGGGGAAUUUUGGACAAUGGGCGCAAGCCUGAUCCAGCCAUGCCGCGUGUCUGAAGAAGGCCUUCGGGUUGUAAAGGACUUUUGUCAGGGAAGAAAAGGUUGUGGCUAAUAUCCAUGACUGAUGACGGUACCUGAAGAAUAAGCACCGGCUAACUACGUGCCAGCAGCCGCGGUAAUACGUAGGGUGCGAGCGUUAAUCGGAAUUACUGGGCGUAAAGCGAGCGCAGACGGUUACUUAAGCAGGAUGUGAAAUCCCCGGGCUCAACCUGGGAACUGCGUUCUGAACUGGGUGACUAGAGUAUGUCAGAGGGGGGUAGAAUUCCACGUGUAGCAGUGAAAUGCGUAGAGAUGUGGAGGAAUACCGAUGGCGAAGCAGCC